AUCCCCACCUGACUCCCGCAGAGAAGUCAUCCUCUGCCCGAAGAAUAACAAGACUAGAGGGCCGAUUUGCCCUUUCGGACUCUCCCGCGCUCCACCGGAAUUCUCCAUCUUUCCAGGCCUAAUACCGGCGCUCCUCCUCCCCACCUUCUCCGCCAGGAAGGCAAUGCGGGCACCUUUGCGCCCUGGGGAGACUGGAGGGGCCUCUCCAUCCUGCCUCCGCCAGCCAGUGCACUGGCCUUCACCUUCCUUGGUCCUGGCGGUUUUCGUGCAGUGUCUCUAGUGGACCCUUCAAGAUUUCAAGCCCGAGGAAGCCUGGCUGGCUCAGUCGGAGGAGUGUGCUACUCUUGAUCUCCCGGGUCGUGAGUUAGAACCCUACGGUGGGUGUAGAUAUUACAAACAAAUAAGCUUUAAAAAAUUAUUUUUUCAAGACGAGCCAGGUGCGGAGGCGACGUGCGGGCCUCCAUCCUCAACAAUGGGCGAUUGGGGCCCACAGAAGACCGUCUGCUCCCUUCUCCGCCCCGCCUCUGGGGAAAGGGAGAUCGGUAGGCCGCUACGCCUUGGGAGCGGCCUCUACCUCCUAGACUUCUGGGCGCCAGCGUCUGGGUUGAGAAGGGAAGUCGAUGCGCAAAGUGGGAAGGGGGCUCCCAGACAGUCACUUCGAUGUGGCGAACACCCGUGUUCAGGGCCGUAUCACUCUCGCCCAGGCAGAGGAUCAGCUGCAAGUGCGUUCCCGUGCAGACACUACUGAUACAUUUUCAGAACCGAAUGACCAUGAAGGAAGACGAACCAUGAGGGGAGAACCACGUCUUGACCUCAAAGCUCUGUGCUUUUCGUUGUGGGAAGUCUCAGGAUUGUUCCUGACAGUUACACUUAAGAGCUCAUUACAGAUCAUUGGGCCGAAUUGGCACUGAGCCGCUAUGUGGGAAAUUGAUGAAAAUUUACAUCUAUAAAAGAGUGGACCAUUUCACAAUAUAUACAUAGAGCAAAUCAUUCUAUUGUUUAUCUGAAACGAAUACAGUGUUAUAUGUCAAUAAAAAAUAGUACAUGUGCA